GACGAACGCUGGCGGCGUGCUUAACACAUGCAAGUCGUACGGUAAGGCCCUUUCGGGGGUACACGAGUGGCGAACGGGCGAGUAACACGUGCGUAACCUGCCCACAACUUUGGGAUAACGCUAGGAAACUGGUGCUAAUACUGGAUAUGUGCUCCUGCUGCAUGGUGGGGGUUGGAAAGCUCCGGCGGUUGUGGAUGGACUCGCGGCCUAUCAGCUUGUUGGUGGGGUAGUGGCCUACCAAGGCGGCGACGGGUAGCCGGCCUGAGAGGGUGACCGGCCACAGUGGGACUGAGAUACGGCCCAGACUCCGACGGGAGGCAGCAGGGGGGAAUAUUGCACAAUGGGCGCAAGCCUGAUGCAGCAACGCCGCGGGCGGGAUGACGGCCUUCGGGUUGUAAACCGCGUUCAGCAGGGACGAAGCUUUUUGUGACGGUACCUGCAGAAGAAGCACCGGCUAACUACGUG
rnacentral:rRNA from 1 species